UACACUCCUACGGGAGGCAGCAGUGGGGAAUUUUGGACAAUGGGCGAAAGCCUGAUCCAGCAAUGCCGCGUGAGUGAAGAAGGCCUUCGGGUUGUAAAGCUCUUUUGUCAGGGAAGAAACGGUGAGAGCUAAUAUCUCUUGCUAAUGACGGUACCUGAAGAAUAAGCACCGGCUAACUACGUGCCAGCAGCCGCGGUAAUACGUAGGGUGCAAGCGUUAAUCGGAAUUACUGGGCGUAAAGCGUGCGCAGGCGGUUUUGUAAGUCUGAUGUGAAAUCCCCGGGCUCAACCUGGGAAUUGCAUUGGAGACUGCAAGGCUAGAAUCUGGCAGAGGGGGGUAGAAUUCCACGUGUAGCAGUGAAAUGCGUAGAUAUGUGGAGGAACACCGAUGGCGAAGGCAGCCCCCUGGGUCAAGAUUGACGCUCAUGCACGAAAGCGUGGGGAGCAAACAGGAUUAGAAACCCCAGUAGUCCC
rnacentral:rRNA from 1 species